UUAUGCUACAAAAAGUUCAGCUAAUCGAUGGAAUUGCUUUGUUGACUCGUAAAAUUAAGAUAAAUAUCGAGCUGCUUUCUUGCUAAAUGUUCUUUUAUUCAAUGUAAAAUAGUUUCUUGUCCCACUUAAUUGUCAUAGCAUUUGAUUAAAGUAUUCGGCUUCAAUUGUUUUUGACUUAUAGAUUGAAAUUAAAACCAAGGAAUAAGCAUCCGAUGCGCCAGCUACUAGGUAACCUUGAUCCGAUCUGUAUUCAUAAUGCAUGUUGAACUGUAAAUCUGUUUCUUUUUUUUUAUUUUUUAUUUUUUAUUUUUAGUUCCUGACGAAUUAACUAUUAACCUUAAAAAUAUUAUCUUUGAGAUAUUAAAAUUAUAAUUUAAAACGAAUCAAGAUUAUCUCGUAACCUAAACUUGUCUUAAACAAAAUUUGCUGUCUGACUGGUCGGUAAUAGUAGUUAAAUUUUGCAGAGGAUUUAAUUCAUUUAAAACAUGUUCAUGAGAUCAUAUCCAGUGGAUGAGGUCAAUGAACAUUAAAAUCACAAUAGAAAUAAAGUUUAAAAAAUUAAAAAAAAAUACAAUCAAGAUUAGGACAGAAAACCCAUUUAAUAAUUAAAAAAGAAAAAAAAAAGCUGACAUUUUGAUGUAGCUGGACCCAGCUUUUUCGGUCGUGUUGAUAAACUCAUGAACAAGUCAAAAAAAUGUUAUGAAGUUUAACUAGAGGAGGAGUCAAACUCUCCUGUCGAAAUAAACAACUAUCAUUUAUUCGUCAACGGUUCUUUGGUUCUUUUUUAAAAAAAAGGGAAAAAAUCUAUUAAAAAUUUGACCUUUAAAUGUUAAUCAUAGAACAAAAAUAUAAGUUAGUCGGCCAUUAUUUCAAUUUGAGUGAUGUCUUUCUACAAAUUAUUUUUUUUAUAAAUUGAAUGUGAUAUUAUAUAACUAGUUGAAUAAAAAUAUAAAAUAAUAAAAAUAAUUUAUAUAAAUUAAAUAAUAUUUUCAUUUAAUUACUCGUGUAACACUACAUCAAUUAAUUGAAAAAAAGAAUUAUCGUUAUGUCAUUGUCCUUUUAAUUUAAUCCACCGUGGCCCAGCUGAUCACUCCACAAAGUCUUUCAAAUAUUUUGUUUUGGUGCGGACGUGGGGCCAGAGUCGUUGAAUCUAAGUUCAUAGCAAGCACUUUCGAGAUCGAUUGGCUUACUACUAUUUGCUAUUACUUAUUUAAUAUUCAUCAUGUUUAUUUAAUUUCAUAAUUUUUUAUUAAUUUUUUUUAUUAUUUGAUUUUUUAAAAUAAAACAUUUGAAUAUAAAAAAUUAUUUUACCUUUAUUAGUAAAAACUCGGAUUUAGAUUAAUCUCUGCUGUACGGCCAAGGCGGAUGUACGGUACAGCAGUUUUAUUUUUUUCAUAAUAUAAUUUUAAAAAAUUAUUUAUUAAAAUAAUUUUAUUAUUUUUAAUAAAAAUUCUCAUUGAUAAUCAAAUAACUAAUUUUUUUUUAAUAAAAACUUUACUUAUAAAAAUUCUACUACUAAAAUUUUUAUUUAAACCAGCUUUAUUUAAAUAGUUAUAGCAAACGAAACCUUUGUUGUUUGCAGCUUCAACUUUUAAGCCGGUGCCAUAAUAAGGCCAGAUUAAGUGUUUAAUCAUUUGUUUAUUCGGGAUUCAAACUUACAAUUAGUUAAAUAAAAUUACUUAAAAAUUACUGUUUAAAUUAUAAAUUUAUGGUAAUAAAAAUAAAUGUCAUGUCUACUGUAUAAUUUAAAAUUAAAAAAAUUAACCUACAACAUAUAAAAAUAAUAAUAAUUAUAUAGAUUUUAACCAAAAUACUUAAAUACGUCUAUAACAAAAAUCUUUUAUAUAAUAUUUAAAAUAAUCCAAAAUAAUUGGAAAAAUUAGCUCAGAGCAUUUACCCUCAGUUAUUGUGUUGAUAGAAGUUUAUGAAACUACUAACUGUACCCUACAAAUUAUUGCGUACCCACUUGUAACAGCUUUAAAGAACCGAGCAUAAUCAUCGUUAUUUUUUUUUUCUUUUUUGUUAAUUAAAACCGAAAAAGAAACUAAUUAAAAAAGUUGAAUACGCUUACUUGUAGAAAAAGCAGGCCGAAAAAGACUGAUAAUAAAUCCCAAAGCUGUGUCCAUUUUCUUCCAGGGACUCAAAAACAGUCUUCUGAGGAUACCCUGCAAUAAGUUUAUUCGUAUCGUUACUCGUAGCUCCAUGCGACGUCGCUGAAUGCAAAUACAGCCUAUUCGACUGAGUCGAACUCGGUAUCGAGGAAAACCACCGA
rnacentral:lncRNA from 1 species